AGAGUUUGAUCCUGGCUCAGGAUGAACGCUAGCUACAGGCUUAACACAUGCAAGUCGAGGGGCAGCAUGAACUUAGCUUGCUAAGUUUGAUGGCGACCGGCGCACGGGUGAGUAACGCGUAUCCAACCUUCCGUACACUCAGGGAUAGCCUUUCGAAAGAAAGAUUAAUACCUGAUGGUAUGAUGAGAUUGCAUGGUAACAUCAUUAAAGAUUCAUCGGUGUACGAUGGGGAUGCGUUCCAUUAGAUAGUAGGCGGGGUAACGGCCCACCUAGUCGACGAUGGAUAGGGGUUCUGAGAGGAAGGUCCCCCACAUUGGAACUGAGACACGGUCCAAACUCCUACGGGAGGCAGCAGUGAGGAAUAUUGGUCAAUGGGCGCGAGCCUGAACCAGCCAAGUAGCGUGAAGGAUGAAGGUCCUACGGAUUGUAAACUUCUUUUAUAAGGGAAUAAAGUCACCCACGUGUGGGUGUUUGUAUGUACCUUAUGAAUAAGCAUCGGCUAACUCCGUGCCAGCAGCCGCGGUAAUACGGAGGAUGCGAGCGUUAUCCGGAUUUAUUGGGUUUAAAGGGAGCGUAGACGGGUCGUUAAGUCAGCUGUGAAAGUUUGGGGCUCAACCUUAAAAUUGCAGUUGAUACUGGCGUCCUUGAGUACGGUUGAGGCAGGCGGAAUUCGUGGUGUAGCGGUGAAAUGCUUAGAUAUCACGAAGAACUCCGAUUGCGAAGGCAGCUUACUAACCUGUAACUGACAUUGAUGCUCGAAAGUGUGGGUAUCAAACAGGAUUAGAUACCCUGGUAGUCCACACGGUAAACGAUGAAUACUCGCUGUUUGCGAUAUACAGCAAGCGGCCAAGCGAAAGCGUUAAGUAUUCCACCUGGGGAGUACGCCGGCAACGGUGAAACUCAAAGGAAUUGACGGGGGCCCGCACAAGCGGAGGAACAUGUGGUUUAA
rnacentral:rRNA from 1 species